CGUAGUAUUCAGAUCUAUAAAAAAAAGUAAAACCAAAUUCUCAAAAAUUUGUCUACAAAAUUUUUAGUUAAAAUUUUUGUAUAAUUCUUUUCGGAAUAUAACACGAAUUUUCCACAAAUUGAAAAUGAAUUUUUGUUCAGUGCCCUACGAAGCUGAUUACGGCAUGUACGCCGAUUCCAAGAUGAAGAGCGUGCCUCAGUAUCCUUUGAGCAUGGGUUCUGGGCAGCAGGGACAUGGACAGUCGAUGGCCAUGCAGCCCCUGAAUCCUCCCCAGAUGAAUCUGCAGAUGCAGAUGCCCAUGUCGAGUGCCACCCAGAUGUCCUCGUUUCCCAUGCAGGGAAUCCCGCUGGGCAUGAUGCCCGCUGGCAAUCAGAUGACGCCCAUGUCCACGAUGACCACCCAGCUGCCAAUUGGAGCCGUUACUCCGCUGAGCAGCAUGACCAUGAUGCCGAUGAUGGGCAAUCCCAUGGGCGCCAUCGAUGCUCCGGGUAUAAAUGCAGUGCUGCCCGAUCUGCAGCCCAUGACAUCGAUGGGUCAGAUGCAGCCGAUGCAGCAGUACGGCCAGUCUGGUUCCACCACCCAAAUGCAUCAGGGUCGCCUGACUGGCGGUGGUAAUGGUGGCCUGGCUGCUUCCUGUCCCUCGUCACCCUCGCAUCCUGGUAGCUGGAACUCUAGUCCCGGCUCCAUGGCCAAUGGCAAUAUGUGGCAGUAUAGCCAACCCAUUCAGAGCCACCAGCCGCAGUACCACCAGCAGCAGCAGCACCACUUCCAACAGCAAUCGAACCACCAGCAGCAGCAACAGGUCAAUCGCAUGAAGCCCUCUUACGACAUGGCGCCAUACCGAGAACUUCGAAAUGGACUGAACAAUCCUUUUUAAUUUCUGCCCCACAGCACACCAUCUAUGCACGAAUCAACGAAGUACGGCAAGGGCAAUCAAUCAUUCAAUUGUGGAAAAUCUGUUAGCAAGGUCCCCCAUUGGCGUUGACGAACCCUUGAGCCCAUCAUUAGUUGGUUUUUCGUACUUUUGCAUGAUUGGUGUCUCUCUAGUUACACUCGCCUACACGUCCUUUGUUCCAAGACUUCCCCUACGCAAGCAUUCAACCCAACACACAACACACGCAAACACAAAACAUGGUCACAAGCAUAUAUUGGUGUGGAAUAAAUGGUCUAUAUGUUUUGGCCAAAAAGGAAUUA